CUUAGAGUAAACGCACGCGUCCUUUAGAACCAACAACAAUAGGCGUAGUGUGUGUGUUUGUGGGCCCAGGCCAGUGUUGGGAAGUGAAAGUGAAAUGCAAAACGUGUGAAAAACGCAUGAAACUCCUUUUGCGGGGGCUUUCACUGUUUGUUUGUGUGCUAUGCAGCUGAAUACAACGCGUAUAUAAAAAUAGAUAUACUGCACUCACGUUUAACUAUUACAUAAAGUGGCACAUCAUCAUUUAUAACACAUCGACAACAUAUAAAAUUCAACAAAGGAAACAACAAUUGAAACAAACUAAAAGUAAACAACAAUUAAAGGAACAUUUUUAAAGACGCAUCACAAAAUGUAAGGCAAUAAUCAGCACAAAAGCCAGCAAAAGCUUACAAUAGAAGUAGAAGAAGCACCAUCGCUUGGCUUGGCUCUUGAAGCUUGCUGGGAGGAGAGUGCUGGGUAAGAGGAGAGGACUGGAUUGGAUUGGAUUGGGGCAGUAGCAGCAGCAGCAGUAGCAGCUGCAGCGAUGCCAAGUGCCAUUAUUGGAAACUGUCGUAAUCAUAAGAUUUGCAUACUAUAGCCAUAGUAUCAUCAUGAAAAGCACCAGCGUGAUAAGCACAACAACAACAAAAACAAAAACAACAAUCAUAGGAGAAAUAGCAACAAAAUGGUUAACAAAGGGAACGGUGACAAUAUUAACGGUAAACGAAGCGAUCCGCAUGCAUGAAAAGUGAGAGUGAGGGAGUGAGACAUAUGUACAUAUGUAUAGUACUACAUACAUACAAUACAUUCCGUUAUCGAGUGAGAGCCGAGCUUUAAGAGAGGGAGAGAAAGAGAGAGACAUGACGCUACGCUGAGGAGAUAGGAUAUAUAUAUAUAUAUAUAGCAUAGGACACAAAAUACAGGAGACAACAGCAUCGCAACAACCGCCAGAGGCGCAGAACAAACAAAACGACGACAAUCAGUCAAGAUGAGUGAUGAUCAAGCCGGGGCCAAUGAUGAAAAAGAAUUACUUUACUUUCGUAUGCACAUAUGCCAUUCAAGUCUGGGGAUGUGCAGCGAAGACGCAUCUGAAUAAAAUCAGAGUCAUGCAAGCGAAGGCUCUAAGGGCGAUGACAGGUGCCCCGUGGUUUGUUCGGACCACAAUGCUGGAAAGAGAUCUCCUCAUCCCAAAAAUUGGAGAUCAAAUAAACCAUCAUAGCAGUCGAUACAACGAUAGGCUCAUUAACCAUCCAAAUGAAACAGCUAGAGGAUUACUGCACCCCCAAGUC